UAGUGGCGAACGGGUGAGUAACACGUGGGCAAUCUGCCCUGCACUCUGGGACAAGCCCUGGAAACGGGGUCUAAUACCGGAUACGAGCCUCCUCCGCAUGGUGGAGGUUGGAAAGCUCCGGCGGUGCAGGAUGAGCCCGCGGCCUAUCAGCUUGUUGGUGAGGUAACGGCUCACCAAGGCGACGACGGGUAGCCGGCCUGAGAGGGCGACCGGCCACACUGGGACUGAGACACGGCCCAGACUCCUACGGGAGGCAGCAGUGGGGAAUAUUGCACAAUGGGCGAAAGCCUGAUGCAGCGACGCCGCGUGAGGGAUGAAGGCCUUCGGGUUGUAAACCUCUUUCAGCAGGGAAGAAGCGAAAGUGACGGUACCUGCAGAAGAAGCGCCGGCUAACUACGUGCCAGCAGCCGCGGUAAUACGUAGGGCGCAAGCGUUGUCCGGAAUUAUUGGGCGUAAAGAGCUCGUAGGCGGCUUGUCGCGUCGGUUGUGAAAGCCCGGGGCUUAACCCCGGGUCUGCAGUCGAUACGGGCAGGCUAGAGUUCGGUAGGGGAGAUCG
rnacentral:rRNA from 1 species